CGCACGGGUGAGUAACACGUAUGCAACCUGCCUGCCACAGCCGGAUAAUCGGGAGAAAUUCCGUCUAAUACGGCAUAAUGCAUCGACGGGACAUCCUGUUGGUGCCAAAGGUUGAUUCCGGUGGCGGAUGGGCAUGCGGCGCAUUAGGUAGUUGGUAGGGUAACGGCCUACCAAGCCGACGAUGCGUAGGGGUUCUGAGAGGAAGGUCCCCCACAUUGGAACUGAGACACGGUCCAAACUCCUACGGAAGGCAGCAG
rnacentral:rRNA from 1 species